CGACGUGAGUAACCUGCCUUGGAGUGGGGAAUAACAGUUGGAAACAGCUGCUAAUACCGCAUAAUAUGUCUGUGUCGCAUGGCACUGGGCAUCAAAGAUUUAUCGCUCUGAGAUGGACUCGCGUCUGAUUAGCUAGUUGGCGGGGUAACGGCCCACCAAGGCGACGAUCAGUAGCCGGACCGAGAGGUUGGCCGGCCACAUUGGGACUGAGACACGGCCCAGACUCCUACGGAAGGCAGCAG
rnacentral:rRNA from 1 species